rnacentral:rRNA from 1 species
UCUACGGGUGGCUGCAGUGGGGAAUAUUGGACAAUGGGGGGAACCCUGAUCCAGCGACGCCGCGUGAGUGAAGAAGUAUUUCGGUAUGUAAAGCUCUAUCAGCAGGGAAGAAAGAAAUGACGGUACCUGACUAAGAAGCCCCGGCUAACUACGUGCCAGCAGCCGCGGUAAUACGUAGGGGGCAAGCGUUAUCCGGAUUUACUGGGUGUAAGGGGGGCGUAGACGGUUACGCAAGUCUGGAGUGAAAGGCGGGGGCCCAACCCCCGGACUGCUUUGGAAACUAUAUAACGGGAGUGCAGGAGAGGUAAGUGGAAUUCCUAGUGUAGCGGUGAAAUGCGUAGAUAUUAGGAGGAACACCAGUGGCGAAGGCGGCUUACUGGACUGUAACUGACGUUGAGGCUCGAAAGCGUGGGGAGCAAACAGGAUUAGAUACCCCAGUAGUC